rnacentral:rRNA from 1 species
AACGAACGCUGGCGGCGUGGAUGAGGCAUGCAAGUCGAGCGAGAUCCGCGGGGGCAACUCUGCGGUGACAGCGGCGAACGGGUGAGCAAUACUUGAGCAAUCUACCCUGAAGACCGGAAUAGCUUCUGGAAACGGAUGGUAAUACCGGAUGUUGUCGCUCCGCGAUGCGGAGUCGUCCAAAGGCGGGGACCCGCAAGGGCCCGUCACUUCGGGAUGAGCUCAAGUCCUAUCAGCUAGUUGGUGGGGUAACGGCCCACCAAGGCUUAGACGGGUAGCUGGUCUGAGAGGAUGGUCAGCCACACUGGGACUGAGACACUGCCCAGACUCCUACGGGAGGCUGCAGUCGAGGAUCUUUCACAAUGCCCGAAAGGGUGAUGAUGCGACGCCGCGUGGAGGAUGAAGGCCUUCGGGUUGUAAACUCCUGUCAUGAGGGAUGAAAUGUGGGGAUGCUAACAGUAUCCUCACUUGACGGUACCUCAAGAGGAAGCCACGGCUAACUCUGUG